rnacentral:lncRNA from 1 species
UUUUUUUUUAAACUAAUCUAACAUGAUAGGCAAAAAAAAAAAUCACCAUAACUAUUACCUAUAUAAAAUGUUCUUCAUCAAAUAUACACUUGAUUCAGCAUGAACGGAUUAUACCAAAAAAAUGCGGCAACAGCAGAUUGUACCAAAAAAACCACAGUAGAAUAGCGGAUUGUAUCAAAAAAAACUACAACAAAAGAAAUAAAAACUAAUAAUAGCUACUUAUGAAAAUUGAACUCGGCGGCCCUUCAAAGACUCAAAUUCAUCCAUAAUUGCAUCUUAGCUAAAUGGACUUGCAAUGUCUUUUUCAAUGUUAAUGACCAAGCUAUUUGAAAGAAAAUCAUCACUCAUUUUGUUUUAUUGUUUUGUCUUGAGAUUUUUCAUUGAUGAGAAAGCUCGCUUUGUCGUUAUGGAGAUUGGGAGUGUCAAAACAAGAUGAAUCAAUCUAUCAAUUAAACAAGGCGAAUCAAACUAUCUACAAUUGAAUCAUUUUAUUUGUUAAAUAAAGCAAAGAUUGUUAUUAUUUAUUAUUUAUCUCUUUUGGAUGUUAUUCUUUCGGAUCCUAUACGACAUGAUUGAAUAAUUUAAAGUUUGACCGGAAGUUAAAUAAAGAUGGAAAAAAUUAUUUCAUUUAAAAUAAAACUUGGGGGUAGCCAAAUAUAUAUUAUUAGGGGUAACUAAAUAUAAAAAUAUACCUACUCGCUCAAAAAAAUAUUUAUUUUUGAGGUAGCCAUGGCUACCUCUUCCUUAUACUAGCAACCGCCCCUGUCUAUAGUAGUCCUACAGACCAAAUGGUAGUUGAAAUAGUAAUGGAAACACAAUCUAGUAAUAAUAGAAAAUGUCAAACAUGGUGGUUUGUUGGCCUUAUUGUUCAAUAUUAGGGUGGUGGAAUAGGAAAGCUAGCAUGGUAGGUGGUGGCUGCAAAGUUUAUGCAAUCUGCAUGUAUUGACCUGUAUCAGUGUCACUGAAAUGUGUUAGCAACGCAAAGAAUUUUCUGAUGUGCCACAUUGAUACAACGGCACUAAAUGACGUGUCAUGUCUAUUGCUUCUGCCCAUCCAGGACCGUCUUAUACGGACUAUACCACCUUGACCAAAUCUGAAGGAGCAGCAAUGAUGGUGGAGCUGAUUGGAUUUGAAUCAGAGGAAGCUAAUCGGGACGUUGAAAAUACUAACAGGGUCCAUGCACGGUUCAGCUUUCUGAUGUGCAAGUUCCAAGACACUUUGAUUCAAAAAGGUAGCGAUGUGGGGGUGACCAAGUGGACUGAGAGUUGCACAUGUAAUUGUAGUGCUUCUUUUGAUGGGCUGCACCAUCUUCUAAAACAAGAGUGCUGCAUAUGAUGAAGUGGCGUACUUGGAGUUUUUCAAGGAUCUGUAUAUGGUCGACGACUUCGCCUGGAAUACUGCUGCCCAUAACUUACUUGAAUAUGGAGUUGUACGUUGCCUACAAUUAUAGGACGAAGGAGCUGGCCGAUUAUAUGACACUGCUUCAAGUAACAUAUUCAUGUGAUUAUUUAAUUAAUUGUACAAAAUAUCAUAUUCAACGUUAUUUACCGAUUAGUAUAUAUUUAUGCAGGCAUAAAUCUUCUAGCACUUUCCGAGUAUUGGUGGUUGGGAUUAUGAGUCUGGGUACGAGCUCUUAUACAUGAACCACCUUAGGUGGCAUACACCCUUUUACACCCACACACAUUUGUGACAUGUGGCAAAAACAUUGAAAGAAGAGAUAAAAAGAGGUGAUAAUGUGAUGUGAAAUGAUUAAAAUACCCCUGACACAUGAGGUGUACAUAAGAGGUGUAUCAAAAAAGGAUGUCUACCUAUCUUUUUCCUAUAUAUAAUUGAAAUGAUUAUGCUUUGUUUUAAGCAUACUGUGCUUAUCAAUAUAUACGGGUCGAAGAUAUGAGAUGAAAGGAAUUUAUAUUGGUCUUCGUAAACUUUAUUUUCUAUUUUUAUCUUACAAACAAACUUUCAUUCGUUUUUUCUUUAAAAAACAAAAGUUUCAUUCUAUUUAUCGAACAGUACUUUGUCAUCAUCUCUUUCAAUCUUCCUUCCUCAUUCACAUCUCAUAUUUCCAUUAUAAUUUGAGUUGUUAUGUUAGCUCAUGUGUCAUACUUGAGAAGAGCAUUAUUAGAAAUCGUGGUUGGACCUAACAUAACCCCACAAAACUGGCUUGUAAUGUGAGGAUUGCCCCCACUUAUAAACAAAUUGUCAGGCCAACUUCUAACUGAUGUGGGACUCUUAACACACACCCUCACGCUCAGGAUUGCACAUCUGAAGCGUGAACAUAAAUGGUGGGUGGCCCGAUAACGGAAACCUGAUAACAGGUGGCCCAAAGAAUCGUGAAGAGGCUCUGAUACCAUAUUAGGAAACAUGAUAUCCAAUGAAGGAAUGAGAGAAAACUCAGACAAUAUUUCUAUUGAUGAUAAAAGUGAAUAUUACAAUGAUAUGAGAUACCUUCUAAUGAGGUGGUUACAACUAUAUAUACUACUAUAUAACUAGUGCUAACUAGUAUCUAACAUAUAUCUCUAAUAGUCCCCCUCAAGUUGGAAGGUGUUCAAAAACACUUCCAACUUGAAAUAAGAAAAUACAAGAAAAUACAUCAAGCAAAUGAAAAUACAAGGAAAGAUGCUGGAAAUACACUGGCCAAGAGAAUAGCAACAACGCUUAACCACCAUCUGGUAGAAGCAAACAACCAACAAAGCCAAUUAAGGCACAACGCUUAACCACCAAGCAGAAACUAUAUGUAAAGUUUAACCACUUAGCAGAAGCACAAUAACACUUAACCAUCCAUGACAGAGGCACAACAACAAAGGCUUAACCAUCAUGGACUAAAGCACAAAACAAGAAUGAAAGCCAUCAUAGGCUAAUAAGAAAGAUGAGGAAGUAAGCCAUGGACAAAAAACCAUUGCCAUGAAACUCAAUGAUCUUCAAACAGAACUGAAACUCCAACACAUGUAGGCAACAAUAUGUAAGCUACUAAGAAAAAAUAAUCUUGCUACAAGUCUUCAACCCAUAUGUUCCAAGCUGCAGCAACAAAAAAAGCAUAUGCGACCAUAAGAACUUGAAUCAAGACAACUAUCAAGGAAACCCAACCCAAAAUUGUCUUCAAUCUUGUGGAUAAACCAAGUGUGUGUUUGAUCGAUCAUUCUCAUAAGUCAUAAGCCAUCUUCUUCAAAAACAAUCAUAGUAAAAAAAAUCAAGUGGAAACAUUCAGCCAUGAUAAAUCUUUUCUACCAAUCCAAAACUAAUGGUUGUUCCCAAACUUCAGUAAACAACACUAAGCAAAUUCAUACCAAAUACCUCCAAAUACCAUAGCCAAUGAACAAAAACAAAAGGACUGCACUGUAGUGGAAUGAUAUUCAACACUAACUAAAUUGGAGAAAAAUUCAGCAACGAUCCAGGACCAAAACAAUAAAUGAUCAAAAGCUUUCAACAAAGAAGCCAACUUAUACAAUUAGCAUCAGGAAGGACUUAACCUGAGACUUUGAAAGGAACGUAUUUCAUGGUCUCAAGUCAACACCAUCAGACCAACCCAAGUGGGUUUGUACAAUUGUUUAUUAUUUAAUAUUGUUAAUUGGUCGAGAAUUACACAUAAGUAGCUCGUGGUUCGUGAUUGAUGAUACAUGUAGAAUUCGAAAUGAUCGUAAUUGUUUAUUAUGUGGCGAUAAGUAUGUGGAAAGACAUAGUUAAGAGUUAACACUACUAGGGUAUGUAUGGCGUUUACAAUAUGAUAGACCCAAAUAAGAUAAGAGACCUAAGUAAAAUAUGAUAGAAUUGUUUAUGAGUAUUUUUUGUGCAAGGAAAUUCAACCAAAUUUGAAAAUAAAUAUUUAACCAGUGUGACCGGAGUCUGAACAACUUAAUAUAGACUCACAAAUUGGGUUGAUAUUGUUGUGAAUUUGGACUCAAAACUCACACCAAUACAAACAAUGAUGUGUAGAACAAAUGAAAGUAGUAACCAAUUUCAAAGUAAACACAAGCAACAGCAAUAAUAACAACACCUAGAUUUAAUCUAGUAAUCAAAGUGAAAAGCACAAAACCACAAGCAAAAGAUAAAGAAAGAAGAUAAACAAACACACCAAAGAUUGUUGACCCAGUUCGGUCCAACUUGACCUACUCUAAGGGAGAGAUUGAUCUCUCCAAUCCACUAUCAAUGAGUUCUUACAAAGAGAUACAAAUGGGUUACAAUAAAUUAGUUUCAACAAGCUCACAAAGAACAACCCUAAUUUCUACCCAUUUUUCCAAUCUCACCAAUGAACAAGACACUCAAUGAUUUUCACUCACCCAAGGUGUUUACAAUAUUUCCCAACCCAAGAUAACUCUAAUCAAAGACAUUCAACCCUAAAGUUACCUCCUUUGAUUUCCCAAGUUUCUCUCUCUUUUACCUCUCCUUCAAAAUCUGCAAAGAACACUUAUAUAGCAGUCUUCAGCUGUCAAAAUCGUGUCACGUUUUGUCAAAUUGUGACACGGUUGGUGCGUACGAUUCAAGGUACGACCAACCUUAUCCUGAAAACGUGGCCAGCAAGCCGAAAAUCGUGUCACGUUUCCCCAAAAAUCGUGUCACGAUUGGACACCCUGCAAAACAUGCUCUCGACAUUGCGAAAUCGUGACACGUUUCACAAAUCGUGUCACGAUUCCAAGUUUUCCUAUCUUCACAAUUUGAACGCAAAUCCAAUAGAUAUUAAAAAUGUCUUUGAAUUGAAUUAGAGUUUUAUGGUCAACAUUGACCAAGAAAAGGUUUAAGGCUGAUUUGCUUUAAAAUUGAAUGACUUGAAUUAAAAUGAUGACUGAAUUGAAAGAGUUUGAAUGUAAAAACACUUCAAUGUUGAAUUGAAAAUGACUUAGAACUUAAAUUUGCAAGAAAGUAAAGAAAUAGAAAAGUGGCGAUGCAAAUUAAAGCAAAAAAUGCCUCACGAAUUAAUCAUGAAAUCUAAAUAGUCAAUCAAAUUUGUUUCUGGGCGAAAAACACGGUGGUUGAUAUAUUUUUCCACGUCAUGUGAUAUACACCUUCGGGAUGAUUUCGCUUUCCCUUUCUCGUUGUGCUUAUCAUUUCCCUUAAAAAAAGUUGAUAGAAAGAUAAAUUGAUUUGAAUUGAAAUUACAAGAAUUUAAAAGAAUUUAAUGUUCUCAAAAGCUUUAGUCGUUUCUAGUCAAGAGUGAGUUUCAGAAAUUAAGUAUUCGGUCAUUUCUUCUUUGUGAGAACUCUUAUUUAUAGAGAAGGUAAACUAAGUAACCAAUCGUGCGUAGAUCAUGUGCUAUUAGUCGUCACAUAUUCCAAAUUGACUCUUCAUCGGCCGAUAUUUCGUCGAAUUAAGGUCUUGACUUAAUAUGAAACCUGGAAGUUAAAGUUUAUGUCUUUAUGCACUGUAUUAUGCCCUCUCUUUCUCUCAUUUCAUCUAGUGUAGGUUUUAUCUUAUUCCUUUUCUCUCAUAUCUCUCCAAUUAAUCUUAAUAUUUCUCAUAAUUUUUUUCUUCUUUUUCAGAAUUCCCAUCCUCUAUUGAUGCUUGUAUAUUCAGGUACUCAUACUUAUAAGCUUCUUUUUUUUUUUUUUCUUUUCUUUUUGAAGUUCAUUCAUCUGAUUUUUUCAUGUGAAUCACACUCAUAUGCAUGUCUGCAUGUUGCAUGCAACUGAUAAAUAAGGGAUGCAGUUGCAUCCAUUUUUAUCAUUUUAACUAUUUGACAAUUUAUUUGAAUCUAAAUUGACUACGGUCACAAUAUGCGGCCUUCACCGUGGUAAACACCGAUUGUAAGAUGGAGAUCGGACGAUUGGUGUUUUAAAUUAUAAAAUCUGAUUUACAAUCAACUUAAAAUCAUAAAUUAUAACCAUCCGAUCUUCAACUUACAGACGAAAUUACAACGGCAGGAAAUGUUGACUGACUACGUUCAAUCCAUAUCGGAAUUAUUUAUGACUUUGACAAUUGUCGAUAAUUAAUAUACUUCCGCUAUUGCAGUUGGUAAACAUUGAUCGUUAGAUGGAGAUCGAGCAUAUUUUGUUUUCAAUUCUAAAAUCUAAUUUACAGUACAAAAUCAUAAGUCAGAACCGUCUGAUACGAUCUUCAACUUACAGACGAAAAACGUUGACUGCAAUCAAUCCAUUUCUGAAUUAUUAUUCAUGGCAUUGAUAAUUGUCUAUUAAAUUGUGCAUAAUUUAAUUUUUCUCUUUCAAAUUUAAUGUCUUACCUUUCAAAAUUAUACAUGAUUAUUUGCUAAAUUUCCUUUUUUUUUUACCAAUGUGUUGUUCGGAGAGUUGGUAACAUGAAUUCCCCAAAAAAAGAACUUGAGUUCGAUUUCUGGAGUAGCCCAUUUGUUGGCCGUCCAACCCCGCAUAAAAAAUGGAUGUUAUCCAUUUGGUUGGCAGUCCAACCCUUCAUAAAAAAAACGGGCGUCAUGUUGCCGACUCUAGGAUUAGUCAUAUAGUUGGUCCAAAGGGCCUAAGUCAUGGGGAUACUUUGGAACAAUUAUGUGAUUAAAGACCCUAAUUGCGGUGGAUUAGAAAGAAAAAUAAAACAAUUGAUUUUAUUUUGCAAUAGAUAAUGGUAGUUUCUGAGUCAAAUUCCUUUUGAAAAAUUAGAAUUGUCAUAAGCAUCCAUGGCUCUACAAAAAUUUGAACAAGAGGAUCAAAACUCAGCACUCUCACUCACCCUGGAUGAUUUCCAAUGCAAUAAUGAUAAGAACUUUAGCUCCCUCAACAUGGAUGAGUUCCUAGCUAGCAUUUGGAGUUCCAAUGAUGAAGAUACUGCUCAAACUCACAACAAUACUGAAAGUGUUGCAACAGCAGAACACACCAUUUCCCAACAGCUUGGUAAUUCAUCAUCUGUCCCUCCUCCAAUUUGCAAGAAAACUUCGGAUGAAGUUUGGUCCGAGAUACAUAAAAACCAACCACAAUUCAAAGAAGCAAAUAACCUUAAAAGAAAUGAGACACUCAAGAAGCAAGAAACACCUGGAGAAAUGACUUUUGAGGAUUUCUUGGUAAAAGCUGGAGUAGUAAAACAAUCAUCAUCGUUGUCGUUUCAGAAUCAUAGUGGCAAUGUUUCAAAUAACAUGGAACCACUGAAUAUUGCAAGUUCUGGUUUGAGGCCUUCAAUGGAAGUAGGAUUUCCUACUCAAUGUGUGACUAGCAAUAGUUCUGCAACAUACCAAAUGACAAGUGGAGCUGAGUCAAGUGGCGCUGCUAACAGAAAGAGGAUAAUUGAUGGUCCUCCUGAAGUUCUAUUGGACCGAAAACAACGCAGAAUGAUGAAAAAUCGAGAAUCGGCUGCACGUUCUCGAGCAAGAAAACAGGUUUUGUGCUCAUCAUACUCUACUCUUUGUUAUAGUUCAAUUGUUAUACUUAUUGAUCACAUAACUUGGAGAAUGCAUCUGUGUAAGGUUUAAAAUCGUAUUUACCUUUGCAGUCCCUUCACAAUCCUUGAUUUCGCGAUAAAUCCAACACAAAUGUGACAGGUUCAGCCUCAAUCACGGUCACAGACUUUUUUAAAACUUGUUUUUGUGUGAUUAACACUACAUUAAAGAUUUUAAAUAAAAGUCCGUGGCCGUGAUUUAGGCUGUGACAUAAGGACUGUUUAUGUCUCUAAAAUUGAAGUUGGGUCCGCAGCAUUUGACCGUGAUAGUCCGUAACGUUUGCAUAUAAAAUAAAAAACCUUGCAAUGCAGGCUUAUACAAUAGAGCUAGAGGCUGAGCUGAAUCUGCUGCAAGAAGAGAAUAAACAGCUGAAACAAUUUCUGGUAAACAAUACUGAAAUUGAAUAUACUGUUCUUGUUUUUUUUCUUGAUGAUUUAUGUUUUCUGAUGCUUAACAUAUAUAUCUAUUUAAAUCCGAAAUAGGCUGAAGCUGAGCGCAAGAGGAAACAAGAGGUAAGUGAUUGAUUAUAUGUUUCAAAUAUAAGUUGAUACUUAUACAUCAUUGUGAAUGUGUGUUUAAGAUUAUGUAUUGCUACAGCUUCUGCAAAGAAAGCAAUCUGCAAAGGUUCAAAAGGGGACAGAAAAAUCAAGCUCAAGCACAACCUGGUGAAUAAGCAUCAAUGACAAGAAUUGAGAAUUUGAGUAUAAAUGUGAAAUAAAUAAUGUGUCUGUACUCAGAAAUUCUGCUUUUGUUGUACAUUUAGAUACAUGACAAUUAAAAUAAUGCAUUCAUGUGAAUGCCGAUAUUAUUAUGCUGCAUACAUAGUUCAUAAAUAUUUCAAGGAUUAUUGUUGAGUUUGUACCUUAAAAUCGCUGUUAUUUUAGAUUCUACCAGGGGCUGUCUUAAGUAAUUAGGAUUACCUGUUAGCAUAUUUGAAUUCUGCUGUUGUUUUUUCGAUCUUCAAGUUUCUGUCGAGUGCAAUUCGAAUUCUGCUAAAGCCCGGUCCUCGUAAUUUGAAUUACGCAGGUAAAAUGUCUAUAAAAAUAGAUUUUUAUCUCGUUAUUCGCUUGUACCAAAAGAGGAUAUUCUUAGGAAACUUAAAGGCUAAGGUUGGUGUCUUUCGGGAGAGGGAAAACAGAGAACAUCAGGGCUCUUGUGUUGAAUGUUUCUUGUGAGGUUCUUUGGGUGCGAGACAAAAUCAACAGGGGAACUUAAAAGGGGCUUUUCGGUUGAGGGCUUUGUGGUGAGAUUUUGUGGAACACCCUAUAUUAUAGUCUAGAACAUAAUUAAUACAAAGUGUCUUAUAAUAGUACUAGAUAGUCAUAAGAAAUCUGUCCAAAGGUACAUAAACAGUCUUAUACACUUAACUUAUAGUCACAUACAAGGUACAAGAAUGUAGAUACAAGCAAAAUGGUCUUAGCUUAUGUUGUGUAUGUCAGAAUCACGUCGACCCACCGUGAUUUUUCAAAAACUACACUUUGUAGCUUCUACAAAAUCACGGUGAUUCAGACAUACCUCUUGUGAUACCAAACACACUCUUAGUUACCAACACUGCAAAUAAAACAUAUAUAAAUUCCCAAAAGUUAAAACAUCUUCAAAUUUUCUUGUCCUUACUAUUGCCUUCCCAUUCAUCCGUAAAACAAAAUUAUAAAAGGUGAUUCGUAAUACAAUCUCUGGACAUAACUCAAGUUUACAUAUACAUAUAUAAAUUUAUGUCUUUUUCGUGCAUGCUGAAAUUAUGUUGCAUAUGAACCAAGAACAUCCAACUCCUUAUCUCUCAACUCAAACCAGUUUAAAUGUUAGUAUUAGUACCACCACAAUGCAUCAUGAAUUAGGGAUUCAAUUUCACUAGUUUGAUAUCAUUCUACUCAAUCUAUCCUAUACGCAUAACCUAAUUCCUAAUAACGAACCAUAGCUUACUAAAGAACUCACCAUAAAUUUGAAGAGGGCGCUGAUUGCAUGCAACUUCUUCUCUUCACUUCCUUGCACUCUAUCUUAUGUUAUGCUCGUAGAGAGAGUAGGAGAGUUGAAGAAAAUGCGUUAUUUGACCUUUGGGUUCACAAUUACCCUUAAAUAGAGAAGGACUCCUCUCCCUGAACAUCGACUCUGCAUCUAUUAUAUAUUAUCCUUACUAAUUGAGAUAAGUUUACAAAGAUAUAUCAUUUUCAUCCUUUUAAUUAAUGCAUGUGAAUUUUCAAUAUUUAAAUCUAAGAUUUUAUUUUGAUAUGAGCUCUUUUUAUUCAAAUUUACGGUCCUUUUUUAUUUUGAAGAAAUUAAAUUUAUUUUGAUAAGAAUUUUAGAUUUGAUGUUUGAAAAUUCAUAUCCAUACAGACAAAAUUAACGUUAAAAAAGAUAAAGACAUAAUUGUUAUAUGAAAUUAAAUUAAGGAAAUGCAUGAGCAUUUUCAAAAUACCGACAUUAAUGUAGUAUCUUUUCUCUCGAGGUUCUUUCUUCCAUUUUCUAUGUUGAGUGGUGAUUUUGGGUCAAUUUUCAUCCGAAAUCACUCAUCUUCGUCUUUUUUUAUCACUAUUACAUUCUAAAUAAGUGAUUUUCACAUAGAUUUAGGUUUUUUCUCUGUGAUUUCGUCGUUUGAGUGCGGCUUUGUGUUGUUUGUUGUCUUGUGCGGCGUUUGAUUUCUCGUCUUGUUGAAAUGUUCAUUUGGUUCCUAUUGAAAGAUCUGUUAUUCAAUCAAUGGUUUGGACGUCAACGUUGCAGAUCUGAGGAAUGAGUAUUCCAGACAUUUUAAUUUUAUCAUAAUAUUUGUAUGCAUUUUGUCGUGUAUGCUGCGAUUAACUUGGAUGUUGUGAAUUUGUUCGCGUAUUCAUCCGUUACGUUUUUAACGAUGUUGAAUGAUGUAAUAUAUCAAUUUGAAUAAAUGUAUAUCGUUUUGUUUUUGUCAAAAAUAAUAAUUAGUGUAAAAUUUUCAUAAAAUAUUUGUUUAUCAUAUAUUUGAAAAUCCGUUAAAAUUUUUGCAAAGUGCUCAUAGAGGAUUUUAUCUACAUAUACUCUUUGAGAAUGGAAAUAUGAAGAAAAUAAUAGAAAAUGGAUAAUAAAUGGACGGAUGAAAAUAAAUAUUAAUGGUAAAAGGGAAAGUGGAAUAUUAUUUAAAGGAUGAGAAAAAGAAAAGUUAAAAGAGAAAUGAAAGUAAUAAAUAAAAAGUACGAGAGAGAGAGUCAGGAAAGGAAUACUAAAUAAUAAUAAAGUAUGUUUGUCCAAAAAAAAAAUUAGAGAAAGAAGAUAAGCAGAAAGAGAAACAAUAAUAAAAAUUUGAAAAAGAUUAAGAAAGAGAUAUAUAAUAAAGAAUGAAAAAUAAAAUAUAUAAAAGAUUAAUUUUCUACUAAUAAAAAUUGAUUUUAACUGAUUCAGUAACUGAUAAGGAAUUUUGAUUUUCUCUUAUUGAGCUCUCGAAGUUAAGUUAUUUAAUUCUUUUAUAUGUCUUGUAAAGACUCGUUUAUAGUGGAUCGAAAAGCUUCUCUUUUAUGUGAGUGUUGGUCAAUUCGGACUGAACUGUGUGUGUGUGUGUGUGUUCAUCUACUCUCUUUAUCUUGUUUGUCUCGAGAACCUACCUCUUGGGGUUACGCCGAUAAAGUCUCACCAUUCUUCAACUCCACCCGACGGAUUACAACCUCCAGCCCCUUGGUUAACACGAUCUUUCAUGUGUUGCUCUGCUUUGGGCAAAGCUCUAAGUUGGCCACCUCUUCUCGUAGAACUUGAACCUCGUCAUUUGAAGAUACUUCAAUGUGGAGCGAAGCACAAAGUAAGGCAACAACCUUCAUAAAGGAAGGGAACUCUUCAGCAAGGAUGCCUUUCUUUUUUGAUGUGACUAUUGUAGAGAAGUAAUGUCACUCAGGAGGAGAAACAACAACCCUCAUUUCCUCAAAGGAAGGCGGAUCGAUAGAAAACACUUUUUGGAGGACUCCGUCUGGACCAGACCUAGAACUCUGACCAACAGAAGAAUAUGAUACCGCAUAUUUCUUGAAAGCAGAAUUACCGAAACAACAUCAGGCCCUCUUUAGGAACCUUGGAGGCUAGGAAAUGUUUCAGAACCAAAGCAUGAGGUAAGGAUUAGCUUUUCCAUACUCAUCACCAUAUGUAGAGGAACCCUGUUGUUGGCCUUCAACCACAGAAAACUCUUCAUGCCACCUGAAAAAAGGAAAAGAAAAAAUAAAAAAUACUAAAAACAAUUCAUGAUAGCUUAAACUUUUAAUAAAUGGUUCUCAAAGACUCACUAAACUAACACAUCUCAUUCUCGACAUAACACUUGUUCAAAUAAUACUUUAACUCAAUCAGGUGAGGAGUCGAAGCUAUUUUUCCCCUCUUAGAAGGAAGCACAUGGGGGUCGUAGGAUCCCACAUAUAAUAAAUUCAAAAAAAUCUCGAGGCCCCUCUCGUUCAAUUUAUCCUUCUCAAAGAGCAUUUUCUCUUGCAUGGCCUUUUCCAAUAAACAUCAGUUCAACAUAACAAAAAAUUGGCUAAGGUUACCUGAGUUAGGCCACCCUUUUCGUCCGUUGAUUCGCGAUAGAUGCAAGUCAUCUUCUUUGCAUUCGUUGAAACCUUCAGAAUUUGAUAAUAUUUGUCUUUGAGAGAAUAUGUCGGGAGCUUAAAGAUUUUACUCCCAUGUUUGGAAAAGUACACACAUUCAUUUCCUAAAAUAUCUCUACUCUCAAUCCAUAAUAGGUAAUAUAAUAGAGAAAUUGAGGUGUAAUCCCCCAUGUAUCGGCAUAGUGACUUGAUGACACUCUGUCAUUACUAGUUUAUUAGACAUUUUUCAUGUAAUUUUAAGGAUAUUCAUUGUGAUUCAUGGAGCUGCAAGCUACAAAAGAACAAGAAAUUGAAGUUUGAAGAAGUCAGAAUUCGGCCACACAUUUUACAAACCGGCCACCGAAUUUGCUGCUGAUUUUCUCCCUUUUGAUUCGACAAAAAUCGGCCCCCGAAGAUGCAAAAUCGGCCACCGAUUGUGCCAGACUUGGCACACGUUUUAAUGCAUUCGGCCACCGAAUUUUGGGCUCAGUGGCCGAUUUUGACAGGCUUAUAAAUAGAAAAGUCCAUUUUCAAAGUAAGGGUUCACGAUUUUAGAGAGAAAAGACAUAUAUUGGAGCAGAGGAUUUGGAGAUCUGAUGGCCAACCAUCAAAACUCAUAGUCAAUCAUCCAAUACACGUAUGAAUCAAUCCUUGUUUUUACGUUAGUUAUCUUGUACUUUAUCUAUGAGUAACUAAUUCUUUUGUGGUUAAGCUUGAGAUGAAUCUGAUGUAAUCCUAUGGGAACCCUAGUUUGUUGAACUCAUUUGAAUAUCAAUGAAAGUCUAGUUUUAAUUCAUAUUACUUUAUGUUUAAUGCUUUUUGUGUUUAUCAUCGACUACUAACCCUAGCUUUAUGAAUAUGCAAAUCGAUCUUAGAGAUUGAAUGACCACUAACCCUGGCUUUUGACUUUGAUCUAGGUAAUAAGUUUAACCUAAGUAAUCAAGCUAGAGAUAGAUCAUUAUUAGGCUAUGACACAGGGAUUAACGUUCUGUUAAUACCUCCAACAGUUUCAAAUUAAUUCACUUAAGAGAUUAAGGAGUUGUCACUUGCAGGGAGAAUUCUAGGUCAAGAGAUUGGGUAGAAUUACUUUGUUAAUCUAUCGUUAAAUUAGAUAAUCAUUGCUUGAAUUAGGAGUGCAAAUUACCAUAUGAGAACUUCGGAGGAUUCAAAGGUCUUAACCAUACAUCUCUCUAAUUUUCUAAAACCAAACUUUUAUUGUUUUUAAUCCGUUUAUUUUACAAAUACCAAUCUAACUUCCUAGGGCAACUUUGAAUUUAAUACAUCUUUUUUGAUAAAGAAAUUGCAGAGUAGAAGUUAACAACGGUCCUCGUGGAUACGAAUUUAUUUAUUACUUCGAUAGUUUUGGUUCACUUGCCAAAUAUCUAUCAUGACUCGUAGCCAAGUCUGAACCCCGUCCUGAGUUUGGAUGAAUCUAUUAGGGAGGCAAAAGGAAAAGAAGAAAUAAAAAAAAAAAUACUAAAAACAAUUAAUGGUAGCUUAAACUUUUAAUAAAUGGUUCUCAAAGACUCACUAAACUAACACAUCUCAUUCUCGGCAUAACCCUUGUUCAGAUAAUACUUUAACUCAAUCAGGUGAGGAGUCGACGCUAUUUUUCCCCUCUUAGAAGGAAGCACAUGGGGGUCGUAGGAUCCCACAUAUCAUAUCUUCGAAAAAAAUCUUGAGACCCCUCUCAUUCAAUUUAUCCUUCUCAAAGAGCAUUUUCUCUUGCAUGGCCUUUUCCAAUAAACAUCAAUUCAACAUAACAAAAAAUUGGCUAAGGGCACCUGAAUUAGACCACCCUCUUCAUCCGUUGAUUCGCGAUAGAUGCAAGUCAUCUUCUUUGCAUUCGUUGAAACCUUCCGAAUUUGAUAAUAUUUGUCUUUGAGAGAAUAUGUCGGGAGCUUAAAGAUUUUACUCCCAUGUUUGAAAAAGUACACGCAUUCAUUUCCUAAAAUAUUUCUACUCUCAAUCCAGAAUAGGUAACAUAAUAGAAAAAUCAAGGUGUAAUCCCCCAUGUAUUGGCACAAUGACUCGUAGCCAUGUACGAACCCCAUCCUGAGUUUGGAUGAAUCUAUUAGGGAGGCAAAAGGAAAAGAAGAAAUAAAAAAUACUGAAAACAAUUCCUGAUAAAUUAAACUUUUAAUAAAUAAUUCUCAAAGACUCACUAAACUAACACAUCUCAUUCUCGGCGUAACCAUUGUUCAAAUAAUACUUUAACUCAAUCAGAUGAGGAGUCGACACUUAUUUUUCCCUCUCAUAAGGAAGCACAUAGGGGUCGUAGGAUCCCACAUAUCAUAUCUUCAGAAAAAAUCUCGAGGCCGCUCUUGUUCAAUUUAUCCUUCUCAAAGAGCAUUUUCUCUUGCAUGGUCUUUUCCAAAGAAGACACAUGCAUCAACUAAAGGGCAACUCAAAGAACGUGGAUUUAAAAGUGCAAUUAUCACAAACAAAUCUUGAGACAUUGCUGAAACAAAAGGUCGCAUCAUGUGUUACCUCCAAGUUACACCCGGGACAUUCGAAGAUAAAUAUCACCCGGAUUAAAACUCACCACAUUCUGUUAGCACCAAAAAAUUGCAUGAAGGUUACUUCGGAUUUUUGAAUGCUACAAAGACCUCGUCUCAAGCCAAAAGCCAAUGACUUGUGGCUACUGUUUUGAACCGGGAUGACGCACAAUCCUCUAUAUCUUUAUUCCACUAUUACAAAUAAGUUCCAACAAGGCGUCCACAUGCUAGUAUGAUCUACCUGGAUCAAUGAAGAGUCAUGUCGUAGAGAAUCAUACACUUAAGAGGUACCUGCUUUUCUUUUGCAAAUAUUAUAGAUGAAAGCACUUCUACUUUAAAGCAAAAACCAAUUUUUAUUUUGAAUAAAAAAUUAAGGUAAAGGGAUGGUACCCGAUCUAAAGCGUGUUUAUAAAGGUAUUUGCACUUUUUUCCCUCCAAUUUAAACAUCAUUUUUUUCCCGCCCACUUUAAACAAAAACCAACUUGUUUCCAUAGGUAUUAAUGAACAUCUUAAACCAACUUUGAACUCCUCUUAUGCUAAUCAUCUAACUUACUGAUAUUUAAUUAACGACUGAUUUAUAUAGGUUUGAGUGAGGGAAUUUGUCAAAUUCCCACUAAUAAGCAGUGUGACCAAUACUAGUACAACUUUAGAAACUACAUUGUCUCCUGGCAUCAUGGGUCCAUGGCCAAUCAUUGAUUUUUGUCAAUAAAUAUGAAUUGUUAAUGCAAUGUUACCUCCUAUACGUGACAUCCUUUAAGAAAAACUCCUAUACAUGACAUCUCUGCUUGAUCUGCAAAUGACCAUUCACCUAUAGAAAAUGGUCACAACUCACAACUGCUCAACGUUACUCUCGAUGUGAAUUUAGACCAAGAUGCAAACUGGUCCACCUAUGACCACCCUAGUAAAAAAAAUUAAUAAAAAAAUUGCACUUUUAGUUACACACUUUGUCGACACGUAAUGACUUAACAUAUUAAUAAGUUUAACAUAAUCAACAAAAGAAUAAUUAAUUUUGGGAUUUGAUUCAGACCAAUCACCUUUCUAGAUAGGUAAAACAAGAGACCUCAAAGAAUUACGGCUCAAGGGAGUGAAACAUUCAAGGAAGGAAUGACCUAAAUUGUCUAAAGCUAUAAAAUCUUCUCAAAGACACCCCCACAUCAAUGAGAAGUUGUAAGGUAUAUUGGAGACAAAGGUAUAUAUUCAUGUAUAUUAUUUAUGCAAAUAAAAAUAUGUACUUUAAAAAUAUAUUGACCUAACCCAUUGGAGUGUUUAUAUUUUUUGAGCCAAACCAUAUAUUUUAAGACCAAUGAUUGGCAUCAUAAAGGAAUAAUUGGUAGGAGGCAUAUUACACCUGCAAUAGGUAUUAGAUGACCACAAGUAUAAAAUAUUGUUUUUUACUUUAUGAUAUGGAUCAUGGGUCCAUUACAUAAAAAGUCUCCUUUAUCCUUCUACUCUUUCUGUCUGUCCUUUCUUUUUAUGCCUUGGAUAUGUUACACAUUUUUAUGUGGUCAAUAAUAUUGGUCCAAAAAAUUAUAAUUUAUAUUGAUAGACUUUUUUUGGUUACAAUAUAUCGAUACACUUUGAAAUUGAGGAAAUAAUCAACUUUGACAUUCAUAAUUUAUAGUAUGUCAUAGCAUUCAAUAGGCUAGUCUGAAGUUGACGGAUUAGUGUGAUUAAAGAAUACUUCUACCGUCUCAAAAUAUAUGUCAUUUUAAUAUCUAUAUUUAAAAAUGUAACUAGUUUUGAAUGAGAAAGAAAAAUUAUGACUUAUUUAACAAAAUCGCUCUUUAUUAAUAGAAUAUAUUAAAAGAAUUAGAAAAGAAAAAAAUUAAUAAAUAGCAAAUGGUAGUAUAAUAGAAGAAGAAGACAUUAAUGUUUUAUUAAUUUUUGUAAAACAGACAUAAAUAAAUGGACAAAAUUAAUCAAUAAGAAUAAUAUAUGUCUGUACUCAUGUUGAAGGGUGGGAAAAAAACCAAAAAAUCAAUUCGAACGGCUGAACUGAACCGAACCAAACAAAAAAAAAUUGAGUCAUUACUAACAAUUCUGAAACUGAACAGAAACAGUUCGGUUCGGUUCAAAACAAUUCAGUUCGAUUCAGUUUGGUAACUAAAAUUUAAUUUCGUUUGAUUUUUUUAUAUAUUUUUUUUAAUGGUACCAAUAAUAACAGUUCCGUUCGAUUCGAAACAAUUCAAUUCAGUUUGAAACAGUUCAAUUCAGUUCAAAAUGCAAAUAGUUCGAUUCAGUUCAGUUAUUUUAAUUUUAACAAAUAGUUCAUAAUUCGGUUCAGUUCAGUUAAUUUAAAUUUAACAAAUAAUUCGAUUCGAUUUAGUUUUCAUCAUAAACCAAACCAUGCCCACUCCUACUCCUAUUAGAUAAAGUUUAGAGAUUUAACUAGGAUAAAAAUAGUCAUAUACAAACUACAUAUUAGAUUAGUGAUGGAAAAUGAAAUGAAAUUGCUAAGUAUUGGUAUUUGAUGAUUACCAUAUGUACUACAUAUUGCUAUCUGCAACAAGAUUUGCAUUUCUAUAAGGAGAAACGAAUCUUAACGUGGCAUGGUUUAGGUGAAGACAGAGAGUGGAUGUUGACCCAUCAACAAAGGGGAUAAUACCAAACAAAUCCAUCUCAGAGCUAAGAUUAAAUACACAAAGUGGUUAUGUUUAUUAUAUUCUACUAGUAUAUAAUGUUUUGGUUGAAACGGUAUGAGCCUAAAUAUUUUGUUUCUAUGUGUAACAAAAUCAACUUUAUCUUUCUAUUUUUUGCCAACUUCAAUAAGAAAGAAAACUCAACUUGAACUCAUACUGAAUUUAUUGUGUUCCCAUUUCCAAGAUCAAAAAUGCAUGAGUUCUUCAUUUUUUACUAUACUUUGUUUUAUUUGAUUUCUUACAAGUACAUAUAUAUAGCCCCACAACAAAAGAACCAAUAAGAAAAUUCAGGCGGUUACAAGAGAGAUAGAAGAGUGGAGUAGGAGUCAAUGAUUCUAGUGGGUUCCUGUAAUAGGCCCCACCUGUUCAAUUUUAUAAUAAAUAAGAAAAAACAAUUUUUUUUUUUUUGUUUUAUUCAAUUUUUUUUAUAUUUUAUUUGAGCCACCUUUGAACCCCACAAGUCUAAAAAAUGAGCCUGAGACAAUUUUUUCUGGGACAAUAUAUUGUGUGAGUUUUUUCUUAAUUCAAUAUAUUCAUUCAACUAAGGACAGUGUGUGAAACAGACUAAUCAAUAAGGUUUCUUCAUAGAGAAGGAGAAAAGAAAUUGAUAUAGACACCCCCCUUAUAAAAGAUAGAAAGUUGCAAAGAGGAUCAUAUCUGAAGAAAAAGACUGGACCCUCUUUCUGUCACAGCCUACAACUUUAGAUUAUAUUAGAUAUUAUUACUUUGACAACAAUAAGCUUUGAUCUUUCUUUGCUUCUCUUUAUACAAUUCUAAUUAUUGAUCAUUCUUAUAAGGUAAUUACACAAAUGACAUCAUAUAUAAGUAUGCACAAACUAUAUACCAUAUGAUUAUAUUUUGUUUGUUUAUGUGAAUUGAAUUUUGCUUUAUAGGAUAUGAGAAUGGUCUAAAGAAUAUUUAUGCAUGGCGAGCCAAAGAAUAGGAGAACUUGAUUUUUCUGAGACAGGACAUUCAACUCAUCAUGUCCCUUAUGGAAUUCAUCAUAGGAUUAAUAAUAAUAAUCCUUCAUCAAGCUUAAUGUAUGAGACAGUACUGUUUUAUUCAUUUUGGUUUGUAUAGUAUUUAAUUUAGUAUAAUGUUUUUGUUUGUUUGUUAGGAAUGAAGAAUCUGGUUUUGAUUUUGGGGAGCUAGAAGAAGCAAUUGUUUUGCAAGGAGUUAAGAAUGGAAAUGAUGAAACAAAAGCAUGUAAGUUUUGCUUUUUUUUCUAUCAAAUACCACUUUUUUUCUGACCUUAGAUAAGCAUAACCAACUCUUUCUAAAAGUAGAGGGAAAGAAAGAAAAAAAGCAAAGGUUUGAAUAUGUCUAAAGAGUGCAUAGUUACCAUUUCCAAUACCAUAAUGAUUCUGAGGCAAUAGACAUGGGAAGGUGUGGGGUUACAAACUUGGAAACCUCACUUCCCUUUUGCAUGAUUUUUACUGACUCCAUAACUGCUGAAAUAUAAAGUUAAUAGAUUAGGUUCUUCUUUUCUUCAAUACCUUUUACAAUUAUUUUGGUAAAAAAUUUAAAGCCUUUUAUUUUGGUUGAUCCUCUCAGAUUUUUUCUUUCAUGAUUCUUUGCAGCUUUUUUCACAGCCAGACCUGCUGCUACACUGGAAAUGUUCCCUUCUUGGCCAAUGAGAUUCCAUCAAACCUCAACAGUAGUAAUACUCUCUCUAUCUUUGACCAAUCUAUUUUAAUUAUGCUUAUCAUAGAUGCUUCUUAUAUAAUGUUCAAUUCAAUUUCAAAUAGAAUGCAUGCUUUUUUGUCAUUGUUUUUCAGCCCUUGUCGCAUCGAUUCGUUUAAAAUAAUGCAUGCGACGAUAUGAGCCGAUUAAAUUAUAUAUUUGAAUAUACUAAUGAUUUGUAUUUGGAAAUACAGGGAGGUGGUAACAAAUCAGGAGGUGAAAGCAGUGAUUCAGCACUAUCAAGCAAAAAUGAGAACCCUUUUGAGCCAGAAUCACCCUUAAGUAGUAAAAAAGCAUCUUCUUUUUCAUCAGAUCAUAAUAAUAAUAUGGAUCAGCAGAAUCUUCAGCUACAACAACAGAAGAUGAUAAUAUCCAAUGAUGCUUCUGCUGCUAUAAGAACAGCCUCUUCAUCACAGAAUCAAAUAUCAGCAGCAGCCAAAGAAAAGGUUAAUAGUAAAAAAAAAUAAUCACUGAUACUGUUAAAGUGUUAAAUCACUUAGUUAUCUGUUUCCAUAUCCCAUAAACUAAGGGAAAGUUUGGUCUUUCUUUAUUUACUGUUUUGAAUUUGUACUAUCUUCUUGGUCACGUAAAAACAGCACAGAUCCCAACAGAUUUCAGAAAAUCAAAACAACAGAGAGUUUUCCUGAUUCCUGAACGAUUUUCUGACAUGAAAACAUGAUAGAGAGAGAGAGAGAGAAGGAUACUAGUAGUAUUAUGUUGUACUAACAAAAAAACAAAGUGAGAAUCUUUUGAGUACUUAUCAAAGUUUUUUUUCGCAUUAAAAAGUGACUCAUUCUCACACACUCUUCACUUGAUAUAGUGAAAACUUGUGUUUCUCUAACACAAGUCUAAAGAAACAGUUCACAAAAAAUGGCUGAAAAUGAUCCAUUUUGCUAUCCAUAUCACAUUGAAGAUGAUUGCAUUCCUACUGAAAAAUGGUCAAAUGGACUUCAACAUUCUCAAAAUUCAGUGAGCACACUUUAAUAUUAUCAUGCCAUCUUUUUGUUCUUCAUUGAAUUAAAAGUGUAGCAUUUUUAUAUGCUUAACAAAUUUUCUAUUUUUCCCUCACUCAUUUGCUUAACCAUGCAUUUUUGUUCUACACUUGAAAUAUUUGUGUAUGUCUUUCUGUUUUGCUUUUAAUUAAAUAAAACUUAUAUAUGGAUAAUUUCUUUUGUUGUAGAAAAAAGGAGCUGGUUCAACAUCAGAUAAGCCACUUGAUGCAAAGGUGUUUGUUUAUAUUUAAGUACAAAUGUUCAUUUUUAUUAUGUCUUUUUUUUCAUGUUGAUGUUUUAUAUGCUAAGGUAAAAAAUUUGUACUUGUUUUAGACAUUGAGACGUUUAGCACAAAACAGGGAGGCUGCAAGGAAAAGUCGUCUAAGGAAAAAGGUUUGUGUGUCCUAUACAUAUACAUAUACAUAUAGAUACACAAAAGUUGUAGAAAAAUGUAAAAAUGAAAGUAUGAAACUUACUCAUUGAAUUGAAUUUUUCUAUAGGCUUAUGUGCAACAACUUGAGUCAAGUAGAUUAAAGCUUACACAAUUGGAACAAGACCUUCAAAGAGCACGCUCUCAGGUACUAAAGUCAAAUAUUGUUAUAUAAUAUAUAGUUUAUUUUUAUUAUUAUUUUUUACUUUUAUUGAUUAAUUAUUACAUAAAUGUUAAUUUAAAAUUAGGGUAUGUUCAUGGAUUGGAGUGGUGGUGUUGGAGGCAAUAUAAGCUCUGGUGAGUUUAUUUUUCAUAUGAAAUUAUGUGUAUUUUCUAAUUUGUCACAUUCAGAAACUUACCAUCAUUUACUAUAAUUUAAUUUUUUUUUUUGGAAGUAUAUAUAGGUUUUUUUAAAGGACAAGUAAAAGUCAAAACUUGAUCUUGGGUGCUCAUUUCAAAACGUAGAGAAGUCUCUGAAUCUGACCGAAAUCUAAGAAUAAAUAACUCGUGUGUUUGAAUUAUAAAAAUAUACAAUAGGCCAAUGUUUAUGUUCAAAAAAGUAUGACCUUUUUUAAAAUAUAUAAACUCUAAUAUUCAAAACUAUGUCCUUUUCUAUCAUGUAUAAACUAUAUAUUAAAGCUGCUUUCAAGGGUGCCACUUGAAUAUUUCUUUUGCAGCUUGGAUUAUUUUGGCUCUAUAUGGGAACUAUAAUAAUACGAUGAAGAUUACAUUUUUAAUUAUUAGCUAGAUAUUCAUCUUUUGCUUUGAAAUAAUCUUGUUUUCAACUAAUCUUGCUUUGAUUUUUUUUAUCAGAAAUGACUUUUUAAAUAUCAUUUUUUACAAAUUACUGUAUUAUUUAUUUUACAACAAAAGAUAUAAGUUGUCAAACAAAAAACAAAAGAUAUUAAAAAAAUCAUAUUUAAAUAGCAAACAAGAUAUCAUUUUUCUUAUUUUAAAAUGAGCACCUAAAAUCUCAUAGAGGGCACAAGUCUUCUUUAUUCCAUUAUGAUACUGCUCAUUUCCACUUUUUGUUAGUAAUAAUAAUACAACUUUUGAAAGAAAAAAAAAAAAGGAGUUGUAAAUAAAUAAAUAAAUAAUCAUGAAUUAUCAUGCACAAAAAAAUGCACUUUAAGAAAAGGAAACGCAUUACGUAGUAUGAUUAAUCCACUUUGUUUAAUGACAAGAAAUUAAAUUUGGUUCAUUCCUUGCCACAUUAUUGCACUAGCUAGUCACCAAAACAACCGACAUAAUAUGAAAAUGUAACAUAUAUUAUUAAUAAAUUGUAGGAGGUGCAAUGUUUGACAUGGAAUAUGGAAGAUGGUUAGAAGAAGACAACCGUUUAUUAACGGAGUUAAGAAACGGAUUGCAAGCGGCGUUAACAGAUAAUGAAAUGAGAGUAAUGGUGGAUGGAUAUUUGUGUCAUUAUGAUCAAAUAUUUAGACUCAAAGGUGUCACUGCUAAAUCAGACGUGUUUCAUCUUAUCAAUGGCAUGUGGACUUCUCAAGCUGAACGUUGCUUCCUUUGGAUUGGUGGUUUUAGACCUUCUGAAAUUAUCAUGGUUAGUACAAUACAAUACUUUUCAUUCUAUAAUUAGUGUUUAUAAUUUGGUAUAAUCAUGGGAGUAUGUAACGUCAAUACUUUUUAGAUUUAAAAAAAUACUUUUUUUUUUGUGUGUAAAAAAAAAUGCUUUUGAUGUAGAAUAGAUAUUAAUUUUUAGAGAUUCUGUAAAAAAGUCAAAGUUGUUUGUUUAUUAAAAUGAAAAUCAUUUUUUUAGAUAAUCACUUGUAGAAAAUAUUUUUAGAUCAUAUAUGUUAUUAAACCACUUAUCUUUGAAGUAGUUUAAGAUUAUUUUCAUUUGCUUACAUAUCAUUGCUUGUACAUAGAGUGGUAGAAACACUAUUUUUUAACCUCUUUAUAACAUACACUUUUUUAUUUAAUGAAUGAAAUCAAUGUCGAUUUUACAUAAGUGAUGAGAUUCACACUGAUUUCACUCAUAAUAAAAAAGUGAAGUGAGUGUCAUUAGGAGAUGUUUAAGAUAGUGUUUCUAACACUCAUUUAAUAUCUAAUUUAAUAAUUUAAGAUGAAACUUACACUUGAAAUAAAUUAUUUUAAACAAAAAAAAAGCUUCGUUUUUUAUUUUGGUGAAGAAAGAGCUUGUGGUUACGUUUAGACAUAAAUAGGACUAAAAAAUUCAUUUAACUUAAAUAAAUAAAUAAGUAGCGUUCCGCAACGUCACUUUCUCAUAAGUUGUCAGAUGUGUGGCUGUACGAACUUACUGUUCCAAUGUAACAGUAAAUUAUUGCAUGCACAGACAGUAAUAAUUACACACUAAUUUGCAUUAAGAUUAAUAAUGUGUUAAUAUUGAUAAUCUGGUUGUCAGAUGUUGAUCCAACAAUUGGAGCCACUAGCUGAGCAGCAGAUAAUGGGGAUGUAUGGACUGAGGCAUUCUUCUCAGCAAGCAGAGGAAGCUCUCUCACAAGGACUUGACCAGUUGCAACAGUCUCUUGUUGACACCAUUGCUGGAGGACCCCUUGUUGAUGGUGUUCAACAAAUGGUUGUUGCUAUAGGCAAGCUUUCCAAUCUUGAAGGUUUUCUUCGCCAGGUACAUAGUAGAAUUUAAUUCAUAUAUACAUCGUCAGGGACACCAUUUUAUUCAUACAAUGAUAUAUAACGUUAUUAUCUGAUGCUAAAAUACUUAAUUAACCCGAUCUUGAUUCAACUUGAGAGUAUCUAACCUUCUUUUACUUUGUCUUGCAUGAUUUUUCCUUAUUGACAUUUUGCUUUUGACUUGUUUUCUUUAUUUAAUAUUUAUGUCCUUUUUGCAUCUGUAUAUAUAAUAAUAGUAAUUACAUAUGUUGAUCUUAAUUAAAUUACCUCCACUACUUUGGUUGUCACGUCACUCUUUCCAAUUAACUAGAUAUGUUGCUAAUCUCAUAAUGCUUUAGUUUUAAUAUAUGAAUUUGCUAGCUACAAAUGUUCCAUCAUGUUGCUCAAAAGUUAGUUAGGUCAUAAGCUUGAUGUAAUAUUUCCAUCUUAAAAUGUUUUAUUCAAAAGUUGGUUUUGGAAAGAGAUGCUCAUCUUGCUUAUUUUUAAAUUAAAGACAUUUUCUCAAAUGUUUUCUAGUAAAUUUAAGAAGUUAGCUUGGUUGUCGAGGUAAAUGACACUUAAAAAGAGUUUUAUAUUUUAGGGUUCUACCCCUAAAAACUAACAUAAUCACUAACUUAUUAUUAACAUAUACUAAUAGAGUAGUAGUAUAAGAAUUUUACUUGCCAGUGAUUAGUUAAAUUUUUAAGAAGUUGCUCAUAAAAUUUUAUUUUAUAUUUUAGAUUCAACUAUUUUCCAUAUUAGCUUAUUGCUUAUUGAUUAAGUCUCAUUCAUUCAUGUUUUUCAAUUGAAGGCCGAUAACUUGAGGCAACAAACUCUUCACCAAUUAUGUCGAUUACUCACACUUCGUCAAGCAGUACGCUCUUUUCUUGUUAUUGGAGAAUAUUAUGGACGACUUCGAGCUCUUAGUUCUCUUUGGGCAUCAAGACCACGAGAGUAAGUUAAAUAUAUUCUAAAUUAUAUAUUUACAUUUAGUUAGUAAUUAAUCUGAUGCAUAUUUGUAGGUUGAAAUACAUUUUAAUUAUGAUCUUUGAUUUAAUUUUACUAAGAUAGUACUUUUAAUUUCAUUGAAUUGUGUUUAAAUGAUAUUUUUCAUGUAAUAAAUGGUGUUAUAAUUUUGCUUAUAGAAAAAUUAUGCUCAACUUUUCAUCCACUAACCAUUUUUCUUUUAUCUUUAAUUAGAAAUUUAUUUUUGAGUAAUUUAUAUAUGACCAAUUUCUUUUGUUAUAUUCAAACAGGAACAUGAUCAGUGAUGAUAACUCAUGCCAAACAACAACAGACAUGCAAAUGGUUCAACCUUCUCAGAAUCAUUUCACAAAUUUCUGAUAGAUGUAUAAUUAAAGUCCUACAAGUGGUUCUUGUUUGGCUGCUUAAUUUAGAAAAUGUCAGUUGUUAUCUAGGAAAAAUUAUUUAUUUAUUUUACUUUUCAAUCAUCUGUUCUGGUGCCUUUAUGUUUAUUGUACAUGUAAAUUGAGCUUUAUGUGCAUGAUGAGGAAGCUCCAAUCCAACUUUAGCUAAAGAGAAAUAGAAAAACAGUUUAUGAAAAUUGAAAAGGUGCCUGCGAGAUAUAGUUAAAGUAUCCAAAAAAUUAAUAUUGAUAUCUCCAAGAUUUGCUUCUUUUCUAUUAACUAAAGUGUAUCUUGAAGUAAUUUUAAUCAUAGUAUAAAAUUUUAGGAUUCUUAACACUGUUUGAUAAUAUUAUAGUGCAAACUCACUGCUAGAAAAAAAUCAAAUUAUUGACAAACAGUUUAUGAAAAGGUGCCUGCGAGAUAUAGAUAAAGUAUCCAAAAUGUUAAUAAUCAUAGCACCUAUCUAGCUAUUUGCUUCAAGUUUCUAUUUAACUAAAGUAUAUGCCGAGCUUGGUAACGCAAGCUUGUGACUUAAAUAUGGACAUUAAGAUGUUGAAAGGUCUUUGACAUGUGUCAAAAAUUUGACUAAAGUAUAUAAUCUUAUCUUGCAGUAAUAUUAUAUUGGAAAGUUACUGCUAGAAAAAAUCAAAUCAUUGACUAAAAUUAAUAACAAAAAAGGGGGUCACAAAUUGGGUGAACAGAGAAGGAUCAAAAAGAGCAACCACUUGAAGUAGAAUAUAAGUCUUUCGCAACUGAAAAUAAUGCAUGUUCACUAGAAUCAAUCUUGAUAAGAACUGAAUUCAACGAGAUUCCUCAAGAAAUAAAUUGUUGGAAAAAUACCACAUAGAAUUAUUAUAAGGUAAUAGACAGCAAGAAUUAUUAGCAUCAAAUUAAUAGAACUCUAAAUACAAUAGAAUAGAGAAUAUGUAAACUUAUCGAAUAUUGACUGAGGCGUGCACGAAGCACUGGUUUAAGAGUAUUUCGCCAUCUCGAAUAGGUUACCCGAUGCAGUAGAUCUCGUGGCUAGUACUCUCCAGGAUACAACAGUCAGUUCUUGCUAGCACCGCAUGUGAAUUAGUAAGGUCUCAGAAACCACUUUUGAAUGCUCAUGGAAACUUAGUAUAUAUUUGUUAUUAGAGACCAAAAGAAAAAAGAAGAGAUGAAAGCAUCUAACAAUGUUCUCUCUCAAUGUAACUUACGUAUCCCUAUUCUUCUUCUCUCCCCAUGUAGCUUAAUCAUAUAAAUAACUCAUUAAAAUAAAUCAAUGGUAACGGUUACAAACUAAGUCUCAUGUUAAUCAGGAAUGACCAACAUAAAGUGCCAAGUAAAUAACAACGGUUAUGUGACCAGGUAGUGCAAUUAAAAGAAAACGUGCAUGAGACUUGGUCAAGGAAAACCAAUUGAUUAUAAUUAUUAAUAAAAUUAAUAGUAAAUAUAAUAAAUCUUUAAAAUAAAUAAUUAAUCAAUUAAAAAAUCCUACAAAAAUGUGUAUGCUUGGAAAAUUGGUCAUUGUGAUGCUCUAAACCGCGCAAUGUUGCAAGGUAUGGAGAUAGCUUGGAGUGAAAUAAUUUCAAACUCUAUCGUGAAAAGUGACUCUAAAGUUUUGAUAGAUCUGGUUUGUCAAAACAACAUGGUGGAUUACGAUAUGCCAACGUUAAUUAGUUUUUCUAAUAAAAAAUGUAGGUUGGAGGAAUAGAGACGUCAAAUCCAACCAUAUUUGACGUUAAGGAAAUCGAAGUGGAGAUUUCUUUGCUAAUUUUGAUCUUGGUUUAAUUGAACUAUUCAAAAUUACUCAUUCUUUAAAAUCCUAUCUCGGAUAAAUUGAUGAUUCAUCUAGUUGAUGAUACUAUUGGAGUCUCCUCCCAUGCUUGUUAGAAUUUCUUGCAAUUUUUUAUUCUUUUUUUCUUUUGGGAUUUUAGGCCUUCUUUGCACCACGACAAAGAAGAGGGGAUAGUGCAUUGCAUUUAUAAUAGAAGAUAGAUACUACAUCAGCCGCUACAUACUCCAUUCGGUAUGAUAUUUAGUAUUUUUUUUUUUUUUUUUGGUGAUCAAGGUUUGAACUCUAACUAAACCUUACAUAUAUAUAUUAUUUUACCAACUAAACUAUACUCACGAUGACUAAGCAAAAUGUAUUGAUUCACACAUAUUAAGAUAUAAAUUACAAUUAUUAAAACAUUAUUUACUACAAGUCUUUUUUUUUAAGAAUCUUUACUGCAAUAUUGUAAUUAAAUUUGCAUUAUGAUUAUGCACACAUGCCAAAAAAUAGGAGAAUUAAUAAGAGUUAUUUUAGGAACAAUCACAUUGAAUAUAAUUAAAUUUGAUAAUUUUGAAUAUAUAUGAGGCCACCAAAUUAUUUUAGCUAUAUUUACUUAUACUAUAAGGUAAGAGGGAGUAUUAUUUUGCAUAAGUCACAAAUAGUAAAAUGGUCACAAAUUAAUAAUGUUGUAAUGGUAUGGUAGCUGCACAAAUUAAAUUGGGUUUGUAGCCGAAAGGAAAGGGUUGUUUCCUCAAAUCAUUCAUGGAAUUUCAUUUUCCACCCUUCACUCUUCUCAAAUGCCCUCCAAUAUUCAAUAACGUCUCAAAAAAAUCUCUUACAAAAUGAAACUUCACAUUAAAGAGGUGAUGUAUUAACUAGCAUUUCUACAAGACACAAUGUUGUCUCUACCUACAAGAAAGGUGGUAUCAAAGGGAGCGCCUAAAUGAGUGAAGUCUACACCGAAAGAAUUCAUCCACAUGUCGAAUUCGCUCUACAUGGGAGCGUGUUGAUUCUCAAUUUUUCGAUAGCCAAUCGUCACAAAUCAAGACAUCACUUCCAAAGAAGUAAAGUGCACGUAUUAGCAAUUACUCGCGCUCACAAACUUCAACGCCUACUACACAACCGUUUCAGAAUUUACCAUACAUUAAACAAAUGUCAAAGAUCGUGAGACCUUACAUCGAAAAUAUUGUGAAUGCAAAAGGGGUGGUAAUUAUGGAUUUCGGGUCAUAGCUAGACACAUGGACAUGGAUGAGGAAAAUCACAUAUUGGUUCGUAUUGCACUUAUCGAAAACUAAUAAGCAAGACUAUUUACCGAUAUUUGGUUCAUAGGAGUGUUUUCAAUAUAUCAUGAAUGAUUUACACCCUGCAACAAAUAGUGGUGGAAUUGCAUAUAUAGAUUGUACAGAGUGAAAGAAUCGCAAGAUUGAUGAGGCUGAGCAAUGAGAGUUUGCAUUUAUGGGUAGACAAGUUUUGUUCAAAGACCUCAUGUCUAAGGAGCCGAUACCGCCGAAAAAUCAUCUCAAUCCAAUUUAUUGCGACACUCCCGAAAAACCAAGGAGAAUUUGAAGUAAUUAAAGAAGAUGAAGAUAAUUCCCUAUCAUUAGCUAGUUUGAUAGGCUAUGAUACUUUUUUGUCGGUGUUCAUCCUUUUUUUGUCGAUAUUACACUGAUAUAUUAUUUGGUGACCGGUUAUGUAACGGCGAUAUUUAUUCCUAAUAUGUAACUAACAUUAUAUAGACUAGCAAAAAGACGGACACGUGAUUAUUGCGCUAACGUUUAAAACAUAUAAACUGUGUUUUUUAAUGAAAUUUUGAUUUUGAUUAAAACCAAAAAUAUAAAUGUUUAUUGUUUUCAAGUUAUAACAAACCAAACUAACCGAGAUUAUAUAUAUCAAUCACACCAACAAUAUAACAAAAAAAAUAUAAUAUAGCAUUUUUUUUAAUGACACUAACGACAAUCUUUAUUAUAGAAAAAAUUGUUUAAGGGUAUACUUGAGAUAAUGAAAAAGUAAGUAUAAAUAUACUCAUCUAGUUUGUUACACUUUUAAAAUGAUAAAGGAAAAAACCCAGACAUAUAUAUUCAUAUAGUGUUUGUUACAUUUUUUGUAAUAUUUAAAUUUAUUCUUAUUUAUUUGUUACAUGUGUUAUUUUUAUUAAAAAUCAAAGGCAUUUUUGGAAAGAAAAAUCCAGCCCAAAAGAGCUGAAAGGGGUAGUUCUCUUUAUAUAUAUAUAUAUAUAUAUAUAUAUAUAUAUACAGCAUACAUAAUAUAAAUAUAUGAAGUGAAAUAUUUGUUGGUGGACGGUUACGUAACGCCAUUUAUUGCUUGCAUUUUUUAAUAUCUAAUUAUUCAACUAUUUAUUUUAUCUUUCACUUGGUUUUAUUACCAUACUUGUUAUUACAUAAACUUCUGUGAAGUGAAACAUGUCUGAAGAUGCACAUGUUGAAGUUGAAGGUCAUGUCCAAUACUACGCCACGAAGAAAAAUAUGAAGGUCUUCUUAACCCCCACGAACAAAUUGAACGGGUUGAAGUCACAACUUAACAAAUACUUCGUCCAUAUUGGUAAAAAUCAAAGAACAUCUUGUAUAUUUGUACAUGUGCUAUGUGUGAACCUAAUGGUGGAUAAAGAUGAAAAUAGUUGGAAGACCGUGUAUUUUCCAAGUUACCCGUGAUGAUGGCGACUUAGAUCACAUGUUACUUAGAUUACAUGUUUAGGUUAAUGGUUAAAAAUAACAUAUUACAUCUUUGUGUUCUAUCCAUUGAAAUGUAAUAUUUAUUAACAUGAAAAAGUAUAAUAUGUUUAAAUUUGUGUCAGUAAUGUUGAAUUUUAAUGUAUUGGCGUCAAAUUUGUGAUUGUAUAUUUAACGGCGAAUUUGUGUAAUUUCGAUCGAUUAUGUAUAAUUAUAUAAUUAUGUGCGAUUUACGACGAAUUUGUGUAAUUUGAAUUGAUUAUGUGUGAUUAUUUGAUUAUGUAUGAUUAACGAUGAAUUAGUGUAAUUUGAAUCAAUUAUACUCCCUCCGAUCCUAUUUAUAAAAAACAGUUAUAUUUUAAUAAAUGUGAAGUUAUCCAAAUAUUAAACAAUAAUGACCCAGGCAAAAUAUCAUAUUUAGUUGAGCAUAUAAAUCAAACAAUUUAUAUUAAAUUGCACAAACCACGCAAUGCCAAAUAUGUCAUUCUAGCAAAAUUUGUUUGUUUUAAAUUAUGUAAUUUUACAAUAGCAGAAAAUCUUAAAGUUUACAUCUCUGUAAUGCCUAUUAUUAUUUAUUUAUUACUUUAUCUUUUUUUAAUUAUUUUAAUUAAUGUUUUUCAGGAUAUUUUUGUAAAUCAACACACAAUUAUUAUUUUCUAUACGACAUCAAUUACAUUUUCUAUACACAAUUAUUAAUGAACUAACUCAAAUGACACAUAUAAUACAGCCUCUAUUCUAUUUUAUAUGUCAUUCAAAGGAAAAACACUUAGGAAAUGUAGUUAACGUUGUAUAGUAAAUCGUAAUUCGAGUUGUUUUAAAAAGAUAUCCUUCACAAAAAGGUAUAGAAAACAUAAAUUUAAAAUAAUUAAAAAAAGAUAAAAAUAAUAAAUAGAAAAUGGCAUAAUAGAAAAAUAAAAUAAAAAUUAUUGAUAUUAUAAAAUGACAUAAUUUGGAACAAACAAAUUUUGUUAAAAUGACAUAAAAUGAAACUUCAACUUGUAAAUGAGUAAAGAACUAUCUUAAUAUUCCUAUAUGAAACUUCAACUUUCGAAAUAUAAAAAAAUAUUAAAAAUCAAAACAGAAAGUUGCCGUGGGAUUAAAUAAUGAUGGUAUGCAGAAUAAAAUCUAAACAAAUAUUGAAUAAUUACAGAGACCAACCAUAUAAUUAAUCCCUGAUAAUCUAAAAAAUCAUCCACAAGAUUUAACUAAACCAAAACAAUAAUUUUUAUAUCAUAUGGAGGUGUGCGUAACUCCAAUCUCAACUAAUUCUGGACAGAGCUUUAAACACCACUCAAUCUAUAUGAGGAGUUAGCUAAAGAGAAAGCACUCAUGAUGAUAAGCGUGCUCCUCAAAACAGCUUAUACUCCCAUAAAAUUAUUUACCACAGUCAAUACAAUCACAAAAAUCAUAGUAAAAAACAGACAGGUUAAUAAAAAGGUGAUGUUCAUAUUCGUGUAAAUGUAUCCCUAGCACCCCUUGCAUAUAUUAUCUCUUCGAAGCUUCUACUUAUCUGAACAAACAUUGGAAUAUCUCCAUCUCCUUUUACACUAGUUGGAAAGUUUCAAAUGGAACUUCUCAAUUAGAAGUUAGGACAUUGAAAAAACGCCAAUGUCUGUACAAGUAAGUUC